rnacentral:rRNA from 1 species
UACGUAGGGGGCGAGCGUUGCCCGGAUUUAUUGGGCGUAAAGAGCGUGUAGGCGGCCAGGUAGGUCUGCUGUGAAAACCCGCAGCUCAACUGUGGGCUUGCAGCCGAUACGGGCGGGCUGGAGUUCGGUAGGGGAGACUGGAAUUCCUGGUGUAGCGGUGAAAUGCGCAGAUAUCAGGAGGAACACCGGUGGCGAAGGCGGGUCUCUGGGCCGAUACUGACGCUGAGGAGCGAAAGCGUGGGGAGCGAACAGG